rnacentral:rRNA from 1 species
GAUGAACGCUGGCGGCGUGCCUAAUACAUGCAAGUCGAGCGAACGGACGAGUAGCUUGCUUUUCUGAUGUUAGCGGCGGCCGGGGGAGUAACAACUGGAUAGCCUACCUCUACGACUGGGUUAACUUCGGGAAACCGGAGCUACUACCGCAUAAUAUUUUGAACCUCUUGGUUCAAAAGUGUAAGACGGUCUUGCUGUCACUUAUAGAUGGAUUCGCGCUGCAUUAGCUAGUUGGUAAGGUAACGGCUUACCAAGGCAACGAUGCAUAGCCGACCUGAGAGGGUGAUCGGCCACACUGGAGCUGAGGAAAGGUCCAGACUCCUACGGGAGGCAGCAGUAGGGAAUAUUACGGCAUGGGCGGAAGCCUGAUGGAGCAGCGACGCGGGAGUGAUGAAGGUCUUCGGAUCGUAGAACUCUUUUAUUAGGGAAGAACAAAUGUGUAAUUGAUUGUGCACAGCUUGACGGUACCUAAAUAGAAAGCCACGGCUAACUACGUG